rnacentral:rRNA from 1 species
AGAGUUUGAUCAUGGCUCAGAAUCAACGCUGGCGGCGUGCCUAACACAUGCAAGUCGAACGCGAGGGUCCCGCAAGGGACUAGUAGAGUGGCAAACGGGUGAGUAACACGUGGGUGACCUGCCUUCGAGUGGGGGAUAACGUCCCGAAAGGGACGCUAAUACCGCAUGACAUCCUGCCGUUGAAAUCGGUGGAGAUCAAA